rnacentral:rRNA from 1 species
AUUGAACGCUGGCGGAAUGCUUUACACAUGCAAGUCGAACGGCAGCACGGACUUCGGUCUGGUGGCGAGUGGCGAACGGGUGAGUAAUGUAUCGGAACGUGCCCAGUCGUGGGGGAUAACGUAGUGAAAAUUACGCUAAUACCGCAUACGAUCCAUGGAUGAAAGCGGGGGAUCGCAAGACCUCGCGCGAUUGGAGCGGGCGAUAUCAGAUUAGGUAGGUGGUGGGGUAAAGGCCCACCAAGCCAACGAUCUGUAGCUGGUCUGAGAGGAGGACCAGCCAAACUGGAACUGAGGCGCAGUCCAGACUCCUACGGGAGGAAGCAGUGGGGAAUUUUGGACAAGGGGCGAACGCCUGAUCCAGCCAUUCCGCGUGCAGGAUGAAGGCCCUCGGGUUGGAAACUGCUUUUGUACAGAACGAAAAGGUUUCUACUAAUACUAGGAGCUCAUGACGGUACUGUAAGGAUAAGCACCGGCUAACUACGUGCCAGCAGCCGCAGUAA